rnacentral:rRNA from 1 species
AGAUUGAACGCUGGCGGCAGGCCUAACACAUGCAAGUCGAGCGGUAGAGAGGUGCUUGCAUCUCUUGAGAGCGGCGGACGGGUGAGUAAUGCCUAGGAAUCUGCCUAGGUGGUGGGGGAUAACGUUCGGAAACGGACGCUAAUACCGCAUACGUCCUACGGGAGAAAGCGGGGGACCUUCGGGCCUCGCGCCAUUAGAUGAGCCUAGGUCGGAUUAGCUAGUUGGUGAGGUAAUGGACUCACCAAGGCGACGAUCCGUAACUGGUCUGAGAGGAUGAUCAGUCACACUGGAACUGAGACACGGUCCAGACUCCUACGGGAGCAGCAGUGGGAAUAUUGGACAAUGGGACGAAAGCCUAGAUCCAGCCAUCGACCGCGUGUGAGAAGAACGGUCUU